rnacentral:tRNA from 1 species
AAAGAAUUAGUUAAAUAUUAACCUUAGUAUGUCAUGCUAAAAUUACCAGUCACAAUCUGGUAUUCUUUA